rnacentral:rRNA from 1 species
CUCCAGACUCCUACGGGAGGCAGCAGUGGGGAAUAUUGCACAAUGGGGGAAACCCUGAUGCAGCGACGCCGCGUGAGUGAAGAAGUAUUUCGGUAUGUAAAGCUCUAUCAGCAGGGAAGAAAAUGACGGUACCUGACUAAGAAGCCCCGGCUAACUACGUGCCAGCAGCCGCGGUAAUACGUAGGGGGCAAGCGUUAUCCGGAUUUACUGGGUGUAAAGGGAGCGUAGACGGCUGUGCAAGCCAGAUGUGAAAGCCCGGGGCUCAACCCCGGGACUGCAUUUGGAACUGUGUGGCUGGAGUGUCGGAGAGGCAGGCGGAAUUCCUAGUGUAGCGGUGAAAUGCGUAGAUAUUAGGAGGAACACCAGUGGCGAAGGCGGCCUGCUGGACGAUGACUGACGUUGAGGCUCGAAAGCGUGGGGAGCAAACAGGAUUAGAUACCCCGGUA